rfam:Bacillus okhensis strain Kh10-101 contig05, whole genome shotgun sequence.
AAACAACUAUAACCGCACAGAACAGGUUUUCUAAAGGUCAAACCUACCUGGGAUGGCGAGUCUGAGUAUAUGA